rnacentral:rRNA from 1 species
CCUACGUGAGGCUGCAGUGGGGAAUAUUGCGCAAUGGGCGAAAGCCUGACGCAGCGACGCCGCGUGAGGGAUGAAGGUCUUCGGAUCGUAAACCUCUGUCAGCAGGGAAGAACGGUCACUGUGCUAAUCAGCAGUGAAUUGACGGUACCUGCAAAGGAAGCACCGGCUAACUCCGUGCCAGCAGCCGCGGUAAUACGGAGGGUGCGAGCGUUAAUCGGAAUUACUGGGCGUAAAGCGCUCGUAGGCGGUAUUGCAAGUCAAGGGUGAAAUCCCCGCGCUCAACGUGGGAACUGCCUUUGAAACUGGCAAACUGGAGUGUGUGAGAGGAUAGUGGAAUUCCAGGUGGAGGAGUGAAAUCCGUAGAUAUCUGGAGGAACAUCAGUGGCGAAGGCGACUAUCUGGCACAUAACUGACGCUGAGGAGCGAAAGCGUGGGUAGCAAACAGGAUUAGAUACCCCAGUAGUC